GACGAACGCUGGCGGCGUGCUUAACACAUGCAAGUCGAACGGUAAGGCCCUUCGGGGUACACGAGUGGCGAACGGGUGAGUAACACGUGGGUGAUCUGCCCUGCACUUCGGGAUAAGCCUGGGAAACUGGGUCUAAUACCGGAUAGGACUCCGGACUGCAUGGUCUGGGGUGGAAAGCUUUUGCGGUGUGGGAUGGGCCCGCGGCCUAUCAGCUUGUUGGUGGGGUGAUGGCCUACCAAGGCGACGACGGGUAGCCGGCCUGAGAGGGUGACGGGCCACACUGGGACUGAGAUACGGCCCAGACUCCGACGGGAGGCAGCAGUGGGGAAUAUUGCACAAUGGGCGCAAGCCUGAUGCAGCGACGCCGCGUGAGGGAUGACGGCCUUCGGGUUGUAAACCUCUUUCAGCACAGACGAAGCGCAAGUGACGGUAUGUGCAGAAGAAGGACCGGCCAACUACGUGCCAGCCGCCGCGGUAA
rnacentral:rRNA from 1 species